CUUCCUUUCUUCUUCCUCCACACGAUUCUAUACUUCUUAUUUUCUUCUUCUGUACCUCUUCGAUCUCCUCAUCUAAUCUCAUCUCUCUUAUCCUCUUCCCAUCUCUCUUUCUCCUCUGCUCAUCUUUCAUUUACUUUUCUUCUUUCAAGCAAAUGGAUCUGAACGAAGAGGAUUACCACCGUCAUGCUUCUCACCACCAUGCUCCUUUCUAUUCGGUUUCGCCCUUCACCACCACCACCACCGCACGCUCGUCAACACCACCACCAGUCACGAAAGUGGAGGAGGCACAGGAUUGAUGAAUGAGGCACAGGAGAUUGAUGGAGGAGGUAGCAGUGGUGGGUCGCGAGCAGAGCCGGCUUGAAUGUUGAAGACGAAGAAGCUCGGUGAGGAGGCGGCAGGCGGCGGAGAAUAUACAUUAGGUUUAGAUUAGGGUUAGGUAUAUUUUUAAUUUGGUUUAGUAUGCUAAACCGAUUUUAUUUAUUAAUAGUUUGAAUCUUUUUUAUGUUUGUGUUUUGAAAUAUGGGUUCCGCGGAGGAGGCGGAGGGGGCGGAGGGAAGGAGUUAGGGUUUUUUUAGAUUUUGUUUUUAAACCUGGUUUGUAUAUAAACUGGUUUAGUUUGUAAACCGAAAUUUUUUGUAAUCUGGUUUAAUUUAUAAACCGAUUGUAAACCAAAAUUUUAAUAUAAACCAAAAUCAUUUA